UGCGAUGAUUAGGGUUGAGAAAAAAAAUGUCGUUUGUAUUUUUUUUGCAAAGACGAAUUUUUCGAUUUAAUUAAGGUGCGUCGGGGCGGGKAGGAUUUCGAAGAGAUGGAUGGUUUUUUUUAAUUUUUUUUUUUUUUAAAUACUUAGGGAAUAAAAAGGAAACGCGAGAUCGCGUUCGUGUGACGUGCACGUUUGAAACAGCACUGAGGUUAUGGGCGUCCAAGCGAUCGAUGAUGCGUCGGAGAAGGAAACGGGGCGCUCGUAUAGCAACUGCGCCACUGAUGUGAGUGAAGAAAACAAACGUCGUUUCAAUGCUGUUGUCAAUGCUGUUGUCAAUGCCGUUGUCAAUGCCGUUGCCAAUGCCGUUGCCAAUGCCGUGUGAGACAUUUCAAACCCGUUACGCAUUGCCUUGCUCGUUGGUAAACGCAUUUUUAAAAAUGCCUUUUUUUGUUUUUAUUUUUUAUACACGAUUAAAUAGCUACAAUAUCUUGGUGGCAAGAGCUAGUGAAUCACCCUGUGUAACGUAUGAAGUUUAUUAUCAUAAGCUUAUCCGGUUCUGAUCAGAAAAGGUCAACACUACCGACUGUUUCAGCCACUCUGCUUUCACCGAGUUUAGCUAAGACCAGGCAGGUUCUCUCGUUUUUCCAAGGAUUAAAUAGUAAUAAAAGAUAGCAAAUUGUGUGAAAGGAUAGGAAGAUGAAGGUAAAAUGAAGAAAUGAUUCGAAUUAAUGAAGAUUGUAGAUUCCCGGAGUUCUGAUUUACAAAAUGUAUAAUGAUGAACUAAGUUAAUUACAAAUUAAAAAAAGAUACAAAGCCUGUUGAAUUGCUUGCGAUUGAUUGUCCCCAGGAAUGCUUGGGCUGAUUGACGGGUCCGAUCCUCUCAGCCACAUGUUCUGCAGUUUCUUUAUUUUAGCACGUGUUGACAGACAAUGGUUAAGGGCAGGGAUUACGUGGAGUUUGUUGAAUUCUUAAGUAAUCUUCUAGUGAUUUAUUGUUAUUGCUUUCAUAUUUUUUUUUCGAAUGAUGCGUUUAUUAAUGAAAUCAAUCUGGUUUCAA